UACGAAGGGUGCAAGCGUUACUCGGAAUCACUGGGCGUAAAGGGUGCGUAGGCGGGUCUUUAAGUCAGGGGUGAAAUCCUGGAGCUCAACUCCAGAACUGCCUUUGAUACUGAAGAUCUUGAGUUCGGGAGAGGUGAGUGGAACUGCGAGUGUAGAGGUGAAAUUCGUAGAUAUUCGCAAGAACACCAGUGGCAAAGGCGGCUCACUGGCCCGAUACUGACGCUGAGGCACGAAAGCGUGGGGAGCGAACAGG
rnacentral:rRNA from 1 species